rnacentral:rRNA from 1 species
AGAGUUUGAUCCUGGCUCAGGAUGAACGCUAGCGGCAGGCUUAACACAUGCAAGUCGAGGGGUAGAGGAAGCUUGCUUCCUUGAGACCGGCGCACGGGUGCGUAACGCGUAUGCAAUCUACCUUAUACAGGGGGAUAGCUCAGAGAAAUUUGGAUUAAUACCCAUAGUAUAAUUGAAUGGCAUCAUUUAAUUAUUAAAGUUCCAACGGUAUAAGAUGAGCAUGCGUCCCAUUAGCUAGUUGGUGUGGUAACGGCACACCAAGGCGACGAUGGGUAGGGGUCCUGAGAGGGAGAUCCCCCACACUGGUACUGAGACACGGACCAGACUCCUACGGGAGGCAGCAGUGAGGAAUAUUGGUCAAUGGGCGCAAGCCUGAACCAGCCAUGCCGCGUGCAGGAUGACGGUCCUAUGGAUUGUAAACUGCUUUUGUACAGGAAGAAACACUCCCUCGUGAGGGAGCUUGACGGUACUGUAAGAAUAAGGAUCGGCUAACUCCGUG